rnacentral:rRNA from 1 species
UACGUAGGGGGCAAGCGUUGUCCGGAAUCAUUGGGCGUAAAGAGCGUGUAGGCGGCCAGAUAAGUCCGCUGUGAAAUCUCGAGGCUCAACUUCGAGCUGUCGGUGGAAACUGUCUGGCUAGAGUCCGGAAGAGGAGAAUGGAAUUCCUGGUGUAGCGGUGAAAUGCGCAGAUAUCAGGAAGGACACCCGUGGCGAAGGCGGUUCUCUGGGACGGUACUGACGCUGAGACGCGAAAGCGUGGGGAGCGAACAGG